rnacentral:rRNA from 3 species
UGAGGAAUAUUGGUCAAUGGGCGAGAGCCUGAACCAGCCAAGUAGCGUGAAGGAUGACUGCCCUAUGGGUUGUAAACUUCUUUUAUAAAGGAAUAAAGUCGGGUAUGGAUACCCGUUUGCAUGUACUUUAUGAAUAAGGAUCGGCUAACUCCGUGCCAGCAGCCGCGGUAAUACGGAGGAUCCGAGCGUUAUCCGGAUUUAUUGGGUUUAAAGGGAGCGUAGAUGGAUGUUUAAGUCAGUUGUGAAAGUUUGCGGCUCAACCGUAAAAUUGCAGUUGAUACUGGAUAUCUUGAGUGCAGUUGAGGCAGGCGGAAUUCGUGGUGUAGCGGUGAAAUGCUUAGAUAUCACGAAGAACUCCGAUUGCGAAGGCAGCCUGCUAAGCUGCAACUGACAUUGAGGCUCGAAAGUGUGGGUAUCAAACA